rnacentral:misc_RNA from 1 species
AACUCCCUCAACUUUUAAAUUUUGUAUGUUAAAAUUCAUCUCUCUCUCUCUCUCUCCGAAAAUGCUAGCUCGCCUGGCUGCCAAUCGUCUUGCCGGAAUCCGGCAAAGUUUCCGUCAGACUUCGCGAUGCUUCUCAACUGCCUUGAACUAUCAUGUUGAUUCGCCGGAUAACAAUCCCGAUCUUCCCUGGGAAUUCUCUGAGCCGAACAAAAAAAAGAUUGCAGAGAUAUUAUCCCACUACCCCUCCAACUAUAAACAAUCUGCAGUCAUUCCUUUGUUAGAUCUUGCACAACAGCAGCAUGGAGGAUGGCUUCCUGUUUCUGCAAUGAACGCAGUAGCCAAGGUUGUGGAGGUUGCUCCCAUCCGUGUAUAUGAAGUUGCAACAUUUUAUUCA